CGAGUUCUGUACAAGUGCAACGCCUCGUAUACAGCGAGUGGAGAGAGUAUCUCGUGUCGUGCUGCACUUCCGCUCCGUGAAGUAAAUCAUGUGCAUUGCAGUGCAACGGACCACCGGCGGCUGAGCGUAACGCGAGGCGAACUACCGGCACAUUAAUCAAAAGUGACGGAAGUGAUGAAAGGAACGAGUUCUAGAAUUGGUGAAAGUACCGAAGAAAAAGUUAAAAGAAGCAAAAAUAAGUUAAUUAAGGGACCGACGUUUCAAAAGUGCGAGGAAAAACGUGAUUUCUCAUCGCUGAAUCACGGAGAGAUCAAUUCAUCCCCAGGAUAACAAUUGCGGCGCAGAACCACUCCGGGCCGAAAUCAUCGACAAGCCGUCGAAACCAGAUCACAUCGCGUCACAUCCACACACUACUUCACUCUCCAUUCUGUGAAGCCGGAUUAACAACACCGGACGCCAAUCGAGAAAAACAAGUCCACAUACCGCUGAAUUUGCCAGGAAUAGCGUGCAACGAUCCCACGAAGAGAACCAACAACAGAAGCAAACGUAUCCUCGUGGUCAUGUCG